UUAUUUAGGAAAAGUGUUGGAACGUUUUGUUGACAACGCUCUCUCGAUGGUUAGGCCGGAAGGGUACGGAAGGGAAAUGCUUGCUGCUGUAUUUCAUCUUUAAUUUUAGAAUAGAGUAAUGGUUGUCAUGGGUCUGGUUGCAGUUUAAGGUUUUCUCAUGAGAUGUAGAGUAAAGCAAAUUAAUGAUAAGAAGUAAAAGUCAUGGGAAUUGUAUAAUAUUUCUUUUGAAAUGUGAGUGGAAUCACAGCCAUCGAGAGCACGUGCCCAGAGUGAGUUCUGAGAUAAUGAGUCGAUGGGCUGAUUUGCAUAUCCUCCUUGAGGUCUAGGUGAAGAUGACUUGCACGUUCCUGCGUGUUUGGACGAGGCGCCGCUUCGGCCUCUGCCCGGCGUGGAAUUUCCUUCCUUAUGGGUGAACGGCGUCAAGGAAGCGACGGUCGAGGGGACAAGACGGGUCGUCGCGGCGCUGCAGCCC